UGACACAGUUCUUUCCAGAACACAUGUCCCUCAGUACACAUGAAAACAGAAUCAUCCUUUCUUGCUGUAGCCAAAGGAAAACGAAAAUAUUCUAAUUUCUUAACAUUAUAAAACCUAGAGGUCUUUUUUUUUUUUUUUUUUUUUUUAAAUUUUCAGGACACAGUUUCUCUGUAUAGCCCUAGGUAUCCUGGAACUCACUCUGUGGACCAGCCUGGCCUCAGACUCAGAGAUCCACCUGCCUCUGCCUCCUGAGUACUAGGAUCAAAGGCGUGCGCCACCAUGCCCCACGGGUACUGCUUUUAGAAGAACUGGUGUUUGAUCCCUGUUGGUGUACAACCACCUGCAACUUUGCCCCCAGGGCAUCUCUCCCCUGUGGGCACGAGCCACACACAGACACACAAAUAUACAUGUUUGGUAAUAUAAUCUUUUUUUAAAAAUUACUAUGCCCAGGGGCCAGAUUUUUCCAGCAGACUUGUCAUUUUUAAAGAGCUUUCUUUAGCCUGGACCAUUGUAUCUGCUGAGUGUUCCUGUCCUGACUGCUUAGCCCCUGUGGGAUGUAUGAUAAUUACACAAUUGCGGCACACAUACACACACACCUUUGUUAAAGCAACAUAUAUAAAACAAAUCUUUCAUUGUUUGUAAGUGACCUGUACAUGAUGACUGAUGGUUUGUUUUAUUUUGCUUGAGGAGAUAGCUUCUAUAAUUCAUGAAACCCACUAGCAUGGCACCAAUGCCUGGACAUGUUGCUAAGACUGUGUAGUUUAGGGAAGCUGGAGAGAUGAUGGUGCUGUCCUUGCAGAGGACCUAAGUUCAGUUUCCAACACUUAUAUCAGAUGCCUUGCAACCACUUGUGGCUCCAGCUCCAGGGUAAUCUGCCCUUUGUGGCCGUCACAGGAACCCAAGCACAUGUGCACAGACACACAUGUAUGACUAUGGGAGUGCGUGCGCGCGCGCGCGCGUGUGUGUGUGUGUGUGUGUGUGUGUGUGUGUGUGUGUGUGGCUGCCAGGUAGGCAGUGUCUCAUUGGCAGAUAUGAAGUCUGUUAACCUUGCUGUACUGUAGUCUGAAACUGCCUUUGUCCCUUUUGGUCAGUGUGGCACUCUUCCCUCUGCACCAUCUGGGACUCUUGGCCCCCAACCCUGGGCCUCCCAGUAACACAGUAAAGAUCCACAACUCUAUGAACUGGUUUGUCACCAGGGUACCACCCUUGUCACCAGGAUACCACCCCUUGUUAAGUUUCUACUACACUUUCUUCCAUGUUAGGCUUCUUUGUCUUUUAAACUAGAAAAACUGUCUUGACUUCUCAAGAUGCUAACUGUUGUCUUGCUUAGCCUUCUUCCAUCUGGCUGGUAGCCAAAUGGUUGUGGCCAUCAUU
rnacentral:lncRNA from 1 species